AUAAUGUAAUAAUUUAUUAGGCUUCUGCUGUAUGCAUAAAAGGUUUCAUUUUAUCCAUACAACAUUUAUUAUUCUUAUUUUUCAAUGAGGAACCAGACUUAGGAAGUUUCAUAACUUGCCUGAAGUCACAGAGGUAAAGGGGCAGCAUAAAGAUUCCGCUGCCAAUUUGUCAAAUUCCAAAGCUCUUUUAUGGCACCACCUCUCCUUCCAAGCAUGCGAGAGCAGGGAGGGAAUUAUGUGUCAGUUGGAUGAGAAUGGCUUGGUAGAACUUGGAGGUGAGCAUCUCAUGAACAGGGCUUCUUGGGACCUGUGAUUCUGUCUUACAUGAGUCACACCAAAUUAUUAGAAAUCAAAGCAUCAAUUGAGGAAAACCAUACCAGUCCCCAGAAAGCUAAUUGAGCCCCGUAGCCUCAGAGCAAGUCUAGUCACUGCUCUUGAAACACGCAAUUUAGCCAUUCCUCCUUCCUCUCUACGGCUGAUAUCAAACACAUGAAACAUCAUAUGUAAUUAGAGGCCAUGAGCGUUUGUGUCACUUUGCACAAUUAAAACUAUGUUCUGCUAUUCCUGGGAAACAUAUUUUUAGUUUAAGCUGGGCUGUAAUGAGAUCUCUAAAAAUAACACCGUGAAAGGUGAGGCUAAGUGUAGGGAUUGAGUUCACCCCAGUGCCAAGGCUAUAAAACAUUAUUCAUGGUCCAUUUAAAGCUCUUGAGCCCUGGGCCAACUUUUUUGCUUGGACAGACGUUUCGUUCAUCCUAUUUGGACCCAACUCACUUUCCAACUAAAUGGCAGUGGUCUGAGUGAGAGGGACUUAGACUAGGCCAUUAGAGGAAUUUUACAGCUGCUGAGGCAGCUCAGGGCACUUUCUCUCUGAGGGGCUCUGGUUACACUCGCCAAGGGGCUUGGAUAUCGAGUGUUGAGACCACCCCACGGCUCGCCAGCUUGCUGCCUUCCGGCAUGAUGGCUCUUCUCAGAAUCAAGCUCCCUAGGUUUUGGCAAGCCCUAUUGCUACAGAAAUAACGAAUGAUCUCCUGGCUUGGCAGUGGGAGGGUUCAGGCAUGCCUGUAACCUCAGACACCGAAUACGGCACCCAAUAGCGUGCGAAAAUGGUGAUACAAGGCUCGUAACAGAUGGGAGAAACUUCAAGAUUUCAACAAUUUGGGGCUUUAGAGGGGAUAUAGUUUUCCUGGACAGAACAGUGCUGUGUUACGUGCACCACCCACAGUAGUUUAAACACGAAAACUCUCACAGCACGUGGAACACAUCUGCGUGUGUGCCCAUUGCCAGCUCUGCUGCUCCUUUACUUAAGGUAGACCUGACAUCAGCAGCAGAUGGUCAUUAUCAGGUUUCUUAUCUCAUCCUUGUUGCCCCGAAACAUAAUUUCUCCCAUCCUUCAGGCUGUGCUAAUGAGGUUGAUGUUACAGGCUGGACUUUGUGGAUAAUCUGGUGGACUUCACUGUCUUUCCUGGUCAUAAAUGCUGUUUUCGUGCUUGUUCUUCUGUUUCAUCUGUUUAUUGACAUUCAGCCUCCACCAAACACAGGUUUCAGGGACAUGGAUGAAUCUGGAGAACGUCAUCCUCAGCAAACUGACACAAGAACAGAAAAUGAAACACCGCAUAUUCUCACUCAUAGGUAAGCUCUGACUUCUUGACCAAUUGGUUGUGGUGCAAGUGACACCGUGCUGCGUACAGAGAACGGAAGCUUCCACUUCCAGCCUCUUGUCACUUGUGAGGGGAGCCAGCUCCAUGAACAACUUCCCUGACCCUGCCAUCCUGGAAAGACCAGGUGCAGGUGCUCUAACUAGCAAUCCCAGCUGAGCUCAGCCUCCUGACCACCCCUGCCAAGGUGUCAGACCUAUGAAUGAUGUUGCCUUCCACUCUGCAGAACAGCCCAUCUGCCAGCUGAGGACUUCCCGUAUGUACUUCAUGCCUUGAAGAACAGAGGAACUGCCCAGUUGAGCCCUGUGUGAAUUCCCGACCCAAACGAUUGUGAGGGAUAAUAAAACAUUUGUUGGAUUAAA